rnacentral:rRNA from 1 species
GAUGAACGCUGGCGGCGUGCCUAACACAUGCAAGUCGAGCGAGAAGUAAAUAACAGAAGCUUUCGGGCGGAAGAUAUUUAUGGAAAGCGGCGGACGGGUGAGUAACGCGUGGGUAACCUGCCCUAUACAUGGGGAUAGCCACUAGAAAUGGUGAUUAAUACCUGGUAGGCAUAAUAGAGGCAUCUUUAUUAUGAGAAAGAUUUAUUGGUAUAGGAUGGGCCCGCGUCUGAUUAGCUAGUUGGUGGGGUAAAGGCCUACCAAGGCAGUGAUCAGUAGCCGACCUAAGAGGGUGAACGGCCACACUGGAACUGAGAGACGGUCCAGACUCCUACGGGAGGCAGCAGUGGGGGAUAUUGCACAAUGGGGGAAACCCUGAUGCAGCAACGCCGCGUGAGUGAUGAAAUUUUUCGAAAUGUAAAACUCUGUCCUAUGGGAAGAAAAAAAUGACGGUACCAUAGGAGGAAGCCCCGGCUAACUACGUGCCAGCAGCCGCGGUAAUACGUAGGGGGCAAGCGUUAUCCGGAAUCAUUGGGCGUAAAGCGUGCGUAGGCGGCUAGGAAGGUCAGAGGUGAAAGGCAUGGGCUUAACCUGUGUAAGCCUUUGAAACCGACUAGCUUGAGUACAGGAGGGGAAAGUGGAAUUUCUAGUGUAGCGGUGAAAUGCGUAGAUAUUAGAAAGAACACCAGUGGCGAAGGCGACUGUCUGGACUGUAACUGACGCUAAGGCACGAAAGCGUGGGUAGCGAACAGG